ensembl:lncRNA
AAGCAGAUGGCCAGAAAAAUAGAGCAAAACAGACAAACAUUUGAUGUGAGGACAAAAAGUGCAAAGCAUGCAGAGCACUUGCAUUUGACUUAUGACCUCACAACUCAAACAGAAAGCAAUAGCCGUCAGAUGUAUGAGGACUACGCCGGCUCAAACACUUGUCAGCUAGAGGAAGGUGGUCCUGAGUGAUGAUCUCUGGUCACACUUACUGCCUCUGCAACACUCCAGACAGCUUAAUCAGCAGAAUCUUGAAGGCAGGAAUUCAUCACUCAUUACUUUGCUGCCUAUCAGCAAUUAGCAGUGGGAGGUAGAUGAUCCUGCUUCUAGAGGCCAGGAUCAAUCCAUCCAUCUGUGCUCCACUACCAGGGGCAAGUGCAGCCUCACGUUCACUGCAUGAUGGAUGCAUGGAACGGCGCUGCGUUACUGGUAAUGUGGCCUGAUAAAUAUUGUGACUGGAAUAUUGUUUGUGAAUUUGCAGAAAACAUGAUUGAUUGAUUGUUUGAGUGGGAUUUCACUGGCUAGAUGUGAAUAUUUAUCACAUUUGUAGAGGAAUUUCAGUGCGAAAUCCUAUUUAGUAAUUUAAAUGAAUCAAAAUUGACCAUAAAAACAUUUAGAAUGUAAAAAAAAAAAAAUUGCUAUUGUUUUGAACUUGAACCUGGAAAAAUCAGUUUCUUAAAAAGUAUUAAGCGUCACAACUGUUGAAAAUAUUGGAAAUAAUAAUAAUAAACAAAAGUUUCUUGAGUACCA